rnacentral:rRNA from 1 species
GACGAACGCUGGCGGCGUGCUUAACACAUGCAAGUCGAACGGAAAGGCCCUGCUUUUGUGGGGUGCUCGAGUGGCGAACGGGUGAGUAACACGUGAGUAACCUGCCCUUGACUUUGGGAUAACUUCAGGAAACUGGGGCUAAUACCGGAUAGGAGCUCCUGCUGCAUGGUGGGGGUUGGAAAGUUUCGGCGGUUGGGGAUGGACUCGCGGCUUAUCAGCUUGUUGGUGGUGUAGUGGCUUACCAAGGCUUUGACGGGUAGCCGGCCUGAGAGGGUGACCGGCCACAUUGGGACUGGGAUACGGCCCAGACUCCUACGGGAGGCAGCAGUGGGGAAUAUUGCACAAUGGGCGGAAGCCUGAUGCAGCAACGCCGCGUGCGGGAUGACGGCCUUCGGGUUGUAAACCGCUUUCGCCUGUGACGAAGCGUGAGUGACGGUAAUGGGUAAAGAAGCACCGGCUAACUACGUG